UUGGAAUAGCACAAGAAAGCCUGUAGGAGCCAUUCUUAUGAUCUUAUUUAAUUUUUCUAUAUGUUCUUUAUAUAUUAGUUUGCUGCUAUAUUGUUAAUGUUGUUUCUUUCUCUGAGUGUGUGCCCUCUAUAGGUAUGAAGGAAAUAUUUUUUUAAAGGAUUUCACCCCUGACAGGAGAGGGAUGCUGGUGGUGAGAGCAUACAGUCUUUCUACCAUGCGCAUGGAACUAAGAUGGCAUGGUGCAACAAGCCUUUGUUUUAUGCUGCAUUUCAAAUUCAUUUUGGUUUGAUAAAUUUUAGUUACGGGAUCAUGGUGCUUUGCAUUGCAUGCGUCGGAAUAUUGCAUCAACACCUCCCACAGUGGCCAAGAAACAAGGGACAUAUUGGAAAGUUGAAGCUUGUUUUUACCACUACAUUAUGUCAAAAGACUUUGCUUUGAAAAUGGAACUUGUUUGAGAAGAAGAUUAAUUUUGUACUUGAAUGGAAUGGAUAGACUGUUUGAGACCGCAGAGCAUUGGAGCCAACAAACAAGGAAAACUUUUCAAAAAGAGGAAGUGUGCAGAAAGAAGUUGAAGGAUCUGAGGGACACAUAUGUAAAGGAGAGAAGAAAGGAGACAGAGACAGAGGAGUGGAUCAGCAACAGGGUCAGGGAAAAAGUGACAGUACUCUGCGGUCCUGUCUUUCCUCUACACCAUACCAAUGUUAUUAAUAUUUAUGUAUAUAAUAUUUAUAUCAAUACUUGUGAAUCAGUUUAAUCCUUUUCUGCCUUCUCAUUGUACAAAUUGUCAUUUGAUACAUUGCCACCAAGAAGAAGAGCUCAGAGAAGGCCUAAGGAGCAGCAAUUGGAGGUGGAGCGGCAGCUCCUAUAGAAGUACUCUGGACCCAUCCUGUUGCUCCAGCACUGUCUCCACGCUCAGAAGAUGAGCUCUUCCUCUUGAGUCUGGUCCCUUCCCUGCAGAAGUUGCCACCUCAGAUGAAAGAAUUCGUCAAAUUUCAAAUACGUAAAUUAAUGUUCUUUGUAUAUAGUUUAUAUAGAUUUUUUUUUUUUUUGUAUAAAUAUACGUGUGUUCUAUAAAAUGACCAAAGGUUUUGGUGUGUUAGUAAAUCAUAGUAAAUUAUAAAUUAUAAUUUGUAUUUUUUAAAUAAAAUAUUAUUUCUAUGUUAAGACUAGAAUACUUAUGGCAAACAUUUUUACAUUCAUUCUAAUUAUAUCCUAUUGCAAAUACACUCACAAUAGUAUAUUGAAUGAUGCGAAUAAACUCAAAAUGUUCAAGCGUGAAACUAUGCAUGAAUAGCCCAGUUUAUUUGCGCAAGUUGCAUCUUGUGUGAACUAACCAUAAGGAAAGCAUUGG
rnacentral:lncRNA from 1 species